GACAGAGGGUGCAAGCGUUGUCCGGAAUUAUUGGGCGUAAAGAGCUCGUAGGCGGUCUGUCGCGUCGGCUGUGAAAUCCCGGAGCUCAACUCCGGGUCUGCAGUCGAUACGGGCAAACUGGAGUACUGCAGGGGAGACUGGAAUUCCUGGUGUAGCGGUGAAAUGCGCAGAUAUCAGGAGGAACACCGGUGGCGAAGGCGGGUCUCUGGGCCGAUACUGACGCUGAGGAGCGAAAGCGUGGGGAGCGAACAGG
rnacentral:rRNA from 1 species